AAACUGCGAUAAGCAAUGCGAAACGCAGUUGUUCGUGAGUCAUCCGGUAUUCGAACGCACAUGGCAGGUCCUCGGACCUACGUCUGGUUGAGGGUCUUUUUUACUCCAUUUCUAUGGGAUGUGAAAGGGCGCUUGGCUCUUUUUAAAGGUAGGGUAACUUGUACCGCAACCGUUUGGUGGACAAUCGAGCGGGCUAAGGUGGCAAGCGAGUGCUGGUAAGCAGUGCUCAUUUAUCUUUUGACCUCAACUCAGACGAGACUACCCGCUGAACUUAA
rnacentral:misc_RNA from 1 species